AGCGAACGCUGGCGGCAGGCUUAACACAUGCAAGUCGAGCGGAUGUAGCAAUACAUCAGCGGCAGACGGGUGAGUAACACGUGGGAACGUACCUUUUGGUUCGGGACAACCCAGGGAAACUUGGGCUAAUACCGGAUAAGCCCUUACGGGGAAAGAUUUAUCGCCGAAAGAUCGGCCCGCGUCUGAUUAGCUAGUUGGUGAGGUAAUGGCUCACCAAGGCGACGAUCAGUAGCUGGUCUGAGAGGAUGAUCAGCCACAUUGGGACUGAGACACGGCCCAAACUCCUACGGGAGGCAGCAGUGGGAAUAUUGGACAAUAGGGCGCAAGCCUGAUCCAGCCAUGCCGCGUGAGUGAUGAAGGCCCUAGGGUUGUAAAGCUCUUUUGUGCGGGAAGAUAAUGACUGUACCGGGAGAAUAAGCCCCGGCUAACUCCGUGCCAGCAGCCGCGGUAAU
rnacentral:rRNA from 1 species